UGCAUUUUGGCAGUACCUUACUAAAAUUGGACCAGUACAGAGGUGAUUAGCAUAGCCACUUCAUGUGGAUGACAAGCCAAUUCAUGAUGUGUUCCAUGUUAAA